UUCUUAAAGUUUGGUGAAAUCUCAGGCUAGAUGUUUUUAUGAAAAAGGCUCUUAUAAAAAAAAGGUUUAUUCAACCUCGUCCCCAGGGUCUUCUGGGUAAUUUACAAUAUGGCAUCUAGCUGAUGAAGACCCUGGCAGAGGCAGGCCCAUUUCCACAGGUAGACCAACACUAGAGUAUUUACCGAAUCUAAUAUGGCCGACAGAUUGGUGAAAUGAGGAAUGGAAUCUAACAAAGAACGGCCGUAAUUAUCACUCACAUUGCCAAAUUUGAGCGUGUUAAGGCAAAUUAUAUAUCUCUCGACUGAUUUAUUUAAGCAAACUUCACUGGCAACUUCGGAAAACAGCAAAGCGCCGUAUGAUAUUCGGAACACAAUUCGACAAGAUUCCAGAACUCCUGUACGCUGUACGAAGUUCAAUAAGUGACUCAACCGAACUGGCCACACCCUGAUACAUGGAAUUGCUUGCUACAGAAGAGAAAGAAGUUCAAGCCAGAAACUGACAUGACAUUUGUGACACUAUUCACUUUUCCCAAACCCUCAGGGUGGGGAUAAAUCUUAGAGUAAAAAAACUGUCAAUUUCCCCACCCCUUUUGGACAGCUUCUUGUUCAAAAGUGUUCUAAACCCCCAUGUUAACCCCAUGGGGGUGGGGGGUUUCAAAUGACUAGUGCAUAAGUUCCCAAAAAGGGAUGUCUUUACCUUAUUUCUGGGGGUUUGACAGAAGUUUUUAUAAAAUCUCUAGAAAAAGGCAGUCUAGAAAUACUCCCCUGUACUUAUAAAGAUCAACCAACAAAACAUUAUUAACCAGCCAUUUUAGCUCCUCAUUGGUAUAACUAGAAAAACUACAACCUGUAGAAAACCUAGGUGGUCUGCGAAGGUGUGUUGAAGAGAAGGACCAAUGCUUCAAACAUCAGCAAAACUGCUUGUUUUCACAGAGGCAUGCAACAUGAUAUUUAAGCUGUGGCAAAAUGCAACUUGAAUUUUAAUUGACCUUUCGAAUUUAUUGGGCAGCAUGAGCUCCAUGUGCCCCAUUCCCUGCUAUGGCCAUGUUUUUUACAACACAUUGUCGGCUUGGACUAAAAAAAACUGAGUUCUGUAUCAAAGCUCAUGUCACCUUGUGUGAUUGAAAAAUCGAGCAGUGAGCUGAGGGUUAUCUUCUAUCCCCGCUACCACCCCCCCCCCCCCCCCCCCCCAGGGGGCUGGAUCAAGAAGGUUGGGACGUCUGGUCAAGGGAAGGGGAGGGAAGUAUCCUAGUUGCUAGUAAAGUGGUCUAACACAAGUGUCAGGUGCCUCUUAUGGGUAAAUUUUAGAAACCAUUGAGCAUCACACCUGCUUGAGCGACUUUUAAGUCCAUUUAAAAAUGGAUAGUGGGUGUGACACUGUUAAA